ensembl:lncRNA LINC01217 long intergenic non-protein coding RNA 1217
AGACAAGAUUCUCCUGCCAAGCAGGGUGCCAUGAAGAAAAUCUAGCUUACAGUGUGAGCCAAAAGAAAUCAAAGUGGAAACAGAAAUGUCAGAGGACUAGAGAGUAAAUGACAGGAGUCUCCACAGUCAUCAUUAGCAUCAACGUUUCACAUGCAGUGGCUUUAUUCAAGCCCACGCAAGAUACAGGAGUCAUUGUCAGUAACGUGAGGACUAAAACAGAGCAAAUGUCACCUUGUCCCUGCAUCAGCUCCAGAAAGGAAGAAAAGCCAAGUUUGGAUUAAAAAAUGGGGACAAUUUUCUACGUGUAAUAUUUUUCAGUUUUGGAACAGAAUCUAAUAAAUGAAGCAGUGGAAAUAAAUUAGAAAAUGGUAAUAUAGCAACAUUUGAAGCAGAAGCUAUCAGUACUCCAGCAAUUCUCCUCAGAUUCUUCUGACUCUUUCUGUGUGCCCAUCCUCUGGCUUCAACAUGCUUGGCUCCUAGAGACUGGCAUCUCUAAGUCUCUUUGAAGGACUGCCCUUGGGCCACUGGCACCAUGGUGCCUGCAAUGCACAGCCAGCCAGCAUCCAUGGUGGUAACAUGCCCUCAAGGAUAGCCCUCACCAAGGACAGACAGGCACAGAUUAUAAAAUCUCAGCAACCUUGCCCCAAGGAGGAACAAAUCUGAGGUUUAAUUUAGGUUCCAGGGCUCCCCAUCAGGAUGAACCUGAGGUUGAAAGUUUACCUGAAAUUAUACCCUUGCUAGUCUUCUCCUUCCUUCCUUGCUUCCCUCAUCUAUUCACAGGCAUCUCCUAUACUGUACUGUACUGACUCCAACUGUACUGAAUCACUUGCACACAAACUCUUGUCUUAUUGUCUUCUUCUGGGAAACCUAAAAUCAUAUCUAGCUGUCACUGUGGUAAAAAUUUCAUAGGCACAAAGAAGUUUAUUAUGUCUUGGAUGCCCUGCUAAUUUUAACAUGUUGCAAUGAAGUUACUCCCUCCCUACCCCCUCAGCAAUGACUGGGAAUCAUGGCUAAUGUCUGGUAAAGCAUAAAUCAAGCCAACUUUUUCCCCUGCUAGAACCACAGGAAAUGGUGGUAUUGUUUUUGAUUAUACACUUCCCAGUACAUCAGGGAGAAGAUUAAUCCUCAGAGGCUUAAAUGACCAGAAUUAUGAAUUGAGGUAAUUCUAGGCAUAGGAGAUCAAAAGAAAUAGCCAUGGACCUUAUGUUUCCUGUGAGAAGAAAGCAAGAGAGCUGGCAGAUGCAUGGCAAGUUUGAGACUUGAUUUAUUCCUGAAAGCAACUGACCGGAGGUAACAUUUGGCUCUAGCCCUGGCUCAGCUCCUUACUGUGGAUUCCUGAGCAAGCUAGUUCUCCUAGACCUUAGUUCACUCACCUGAGUACUUGCACUGAAUGAUACAUAAACUUCCUUCUGGAUUUUAGUUUUGUGAUUCUGUUUGCACAAUCAUAAAACAGCCAACAGAAAAGCCAUACGUGAAGCUUCAGAAGCUGGAAAGUUUAAGCACAUAUCAGUUACUCGUGAGUUAUACUUUUCUGUGUCUGAGAGCAUAUGAGGAGCUUUGCUUGAGUAGCAGCAAAGGAGCUUGUUAAGAAUUCAGAAGCAUAGGAGUAGUAGAGUAUUAAAUGGCUAAGAAAAAGACACCAGCUAUCUCACUGGUGACACAAAGCAGAAUUUCACAACUUAAUCUCAUUCCCACCAGGAGUCUAUUACACAUUCAAGACCUUGAAAGACUACAAAGUCAAGAAUGGAAGGAACAGAUUAAAGGUGGAAUAUUACUUUCAGAAGGAAAGGGAAAGAAACAAAACGAACAAAAUGCAGAUACUGUUUAAUUUUAGUGAAAACUCUUUCUUAAGCCAAAGGAGUCUUACUUUUCUCAGCCCACAAUAUCUGUGGGAAUGUCGAUGGAAUUUUCUGUUUCCUCAUCUUUAGUUUGUGAGAGGCAUGUGCCUGCCCCAUUGCAGCUCUUAAGAACGCACCUUCAUACUACUUGUCAAUUCCACAAAUCCUGAAAUGCAUUAUAUGAUUGGGCUGGACCCAUCAAAAUGUUGAAUAUAUCUUUGAAGUGCCAAUGACAGUGCUAACUCAAGUCACUACAAGUGUUCAGCAAAGGCCUUGUAAAACAAUUACUCAAAACACCCUUAUCCCUGCCCUUUGACCGCAUUCUUAUGGCUUUUGGAAUGGGGACUAACUACAUCAAGUCAUUCUGCAGAACAAACUUGUAGAAGAAGUGUGAAUAAUUUUUUUCAUAUUAUUAAGAUAUUUAUAAUCAGAAGUAUUUACCCAAAACCGUAAACCAUUCAUAUAUUCCAAAGAUGUUACGUGACUUUUCUGAAAUUAGGACAUUAGAAGUAUAUGGAAAUUUAAAUUUGUUUUUGUAUCAAUUUGCUUUUUAAAAUAAAUACAUUUACAUGAUACAAAAUUUUAAAAGCAUAAAAUGAAAUUUUCCCUCCUGCCCCUGUUCACCCAGUAUUCCUCUGUGGAGAUAACCAAUGUUAUCAGUUUAUUAGUUUCUUUCGGAGAUAUUUUAUAUAAGCAAAUAGUCUUGUGGGUGUGCAUUUGUAUG